UGCCCAGGAACUCCUAUUCCUACAUCCUCGCGGUAUUGGCCGGGAUACGAGUAACCAUAGGGAAGAGCGGGUAACCAACCCCGGUGGGAACUCUGGUCGUAUGCUGACAAGUAAGG
rnacentral:ribozyme from 1 species